AACGAACGCUGGCGGCGUGUUUAAGACAUGUAAGUCGAACGGGAUGAAGUUGUAGCAAUACCGCUUCAUCCAGUGGCGCACGGGUGCGUAACACGUGAGUUACAUGCCCUGCAGUGGGGAAUAGCCCGCCGAAAGGCGGAUUAAUACCCCAUGGUUCCCGCGAGGGUAAAGGUGGCCGCAAGGCUGCCGCUGCAGGAUUGGCUCGCGGCCUAUCAGCUUGUUGGCGGGGUAACGGCCCACCAAGGCGACGACGGGUACCUGGUCUGAGAGGAUGAUCAGGCACACUGGAACUGAGACACGGUCCAGACACCUACGGGUGGCAGCAGUCGAGAAUAAUUCACAAUGGGCGAAAGCCUGAUGGUGCAACGCCGCGUGGAGGAUGAAGGUCUUCGGAUUGUAAACUCCUGUCAUCGGGGAGUAAGACCUGGGCGUGAAUAGCGCACAGGGUUGAUAGUACCCGAAGAGGAAGGGACGGCUAACUUCGUGCCAGCAGCCGCCGUAAGAC
rnacentral:rRNA from 1 species